GGAUAUGGGAUUUGGUCUCUUUGAUUGAUCAUCAAAAAGCAAACUAUUCAGCCUGCCUAAUUGGCAAAACAAGGAAUAAAGGCAUAUUCUCUUUCAAAAAAAAAAAAAAAAAAAAAAAAAAAAGAACUAAAUCCCGGAACCUUGUGCUUGCUAGGUAAAU